UCUCCUGGAAAACGGGUGGUAAUGCCGGAUGUUCCACAUGAUCGCAUGUGAUUGUGGGAAAGAUUUCAUCGGCGUGGGAUGGGGUCGCGUCCUAUCAGCUUGUUGGUGAGGUAACGGCUCACCAAGGCUUCGACGGGUAGCCGGCCUGAGAGGGCGACCGGCCACAUUGGGACUGAGAUACGGCCCAGACUCCUACGGGAGGCAGCAGUGGGGAAUAUUGCACAAUGGGCGCAAGCCUGAUGCAGCGACGCCGCGUGAGGGAUGGAGGCCUUCGGGUUGUAAACCUCUUUUGUUUGGGAGCAAGCCUUCGGGUGAGUGUACCUUUCGAAUAAGCGCCGGCUAACUACGUGCCAGCAGCCGCGGUAAUACGUAGGGCGCAAGCGUUAUCCGGAUUUAUUGGGCGUAAAGGGCUCGUAGGCGGCUCGUCGCGUCCGGUGUGAAAGUCCAUCGCUUAACGGUGGAUCUGCGCCGGGUACGGGCGGGCUGGAGUGCGGUAGGGGAGACUGGAAUUCCCGGUGUAACGGUGGAAUGUGUAGAUAUCGGAAAA
rnacentral:rRNA from 1 species